rnacentral:tRNA from 1 species
GGGUGCAUAGCUCAGUGGUUAGAGCACCGAUCUUAUAAGUCGGGGGUCCAUGGUUCGAUCCCAUGUGCACCUA